rnacentral:rRNA from 1 species
AGCAUCCGCGGUAAUUCCAGCUCCAAUAGCGUAUAUUAAAGUUGUUGCAGUUAAAAAGCUCGUAGUUGAAUUUCGGGGUUAGUAGGUUGGUCAUGCCUCUGGUAUGUACUGGUCUCACUGAUUCCUCCUUCCUGAUGAACCUUAAUGCCAUUAAUUUGGUGUUUUGGGGAAUUUGGACUGUUACUUUGAAAAAAUUAGAGUGUUUAAAGCAAGCUAACGCUUGAAUACAUUAGCAUGGAAUAAUGAAAUAGGACGUGCGGUCCUAUUUUGUUGGUUUCUAGGACCGCCGUAAUGAUUAAUAGGGACAGUCGGGGGCAUCAGUAUUCAAUUGUCAGAGGUGAAAUUCUUGGAUUUAUUGAAGACUAACUACUGCGAGAGCAUUUGCCAAGGAUGUUUUCAUUAAUCAGUGAACGAAAGUUAGGGGAUCGAAGACGAUCAGAUACCGUCGUAGUCUUAACCAUAAACUAUGCCGACUAGGGAUCGGGCGGUGUUAUUAUUUUGACUCGCUCGGCACCUUACGAGAAACCAAAGUGUUUGGGUU